AAUUGCUUCGGCAGUACAUAAUAUACUAAAAUUUACACGAUACAGAGAAGAUUAGCAUAGCCCCUGCGCAAGAUUGACAAAUAAAAUCGUGAAGCGGUCAACAUUUUU